AGGAUGUCAAGCGUACCACCCAAACAUACAUCCCAGAGCCAGAUAUCGAAAGGUGUCGAUUUUGAAUCAGACGAGGAUGACGACGACGAUCCUUUUAUGAACAUUGGUUCUCUAAGAAGAAACAGAAGAUAAUGCUUUCAGUGGCACUCAAAUGUUUAAGAUUCCAGAAAGAACUGAUACGUUACAAGCUGAGUUUAUAGUGGAAGAAUUUUCUUAGUAAUUUUUUUUUGGUCCUAAGUGUGUCUGUUAACUGAAGAAUUCAAAAGAAGCUUGUUAGACAGAAAAACAUGUAUAAUAAUUUACUGUAUUUUGUAAUAGUAUUUCUUGAACACCACGAUGUGACCAUCACUCGUUUGCAUCAAGGACAUAUGUAAUUGCAUGGGUUCUCCUUAUUUUUAAUCUGGUUGUUAGUGUAAACCCAGAUGCUCUGUAAAAUUUAGAAUGUUAUUUUUCGGACAUACAUGUACGAGUGUCCAUCUUACUUAGAGAGAGCUUUGCUUCAGACCCAGCCUGGAGUGAGGAAAAAGUAAAUCCACCACCAUACCGCUCUGCUCUGUGAUAAUAGACUAUGCAAGUGCUUUAAUGUGGCCACAUUUAACCAAAGUUGAGGAAAACAGCUAAUAAACGUCAACCUCUCUUGAGGUUCUGAAUUUCCUACAGGCAAAGCAAUAUAUAUGAAGUUGUGCCUACCUUCACUGUGUUGCUAAAGACGUUUUGUUUCCUAGUGCUUGUUACCGUCUUGGCCACUGAGAAUUUGGAUGAGUAGAUAGUGCAUGUUAUACUUUAAAAAUCAGAUAAAGUUUGUGCUAAAAACAGAAGUCUGUCAGAAGUACACUUAAUGAUUGAAUCGAUUGUAGCAGAGAUCCUAGAAGAAGUUUCCAUGGAGUGUUAGUGAUUUUCUCUGUUACUCUGUCUUUUGUGCUUCUUCCUUCCUCUUUACAUUUCUAGGAAGAAAAGAGCUUAAAAUUUUUAAUAUGUCUUUGACAAUCUUGACAUUUUUUGAAAUAGGGUGGUUUAUUGAACUGUAUUAGCCUUAUGACUUGAAAAUAUUGAAAUAUAACUUCCUUGAAACAUU